rnacentral:tRNA from 1 species
GGUGGCUCAAUGGUAGAAUGCUUGCCUUACAAGCAUGAGGCCCUGGGUUCGAUUUCCCAACACCA